rnacentral:rRNA from 1 species
GACGAACGCUGGCGGCGUGCUUAACACAUGCAAGUCGAACGAAGUGGCGAACGGGUGAGUAAUACGUGGGUAACCUGCCCUCCUUUUUGGGAUAAGCCUUGGAAACGGGGUCUAAUACCGAAUAAAGGGGGAUGGGCGCGCGGCCUAUCAGCUUGUUGGUGGGGUGAUGGCCUACAAAGGCGGUGACGGGUAGCCGGCCUGGGAGAGUGAACGGCAACAUGGGAACUGAGACACGGUCCAGACUCCUACGGGAGGCAGCAGUGGGGAAUAUUGCACAAGGGGGGAAACCCUGAUGCAGCGACGUGGCGUGAGCGAAGAAGGCCUUCGGGUCGUAAAGCUCUGUCCGGUACCAUAGAAGGAAGCCCCGGCUAACUACGUGCCAGCAGCCGCGGUAAUUC